rnacentral:rRNA from 1 species
CCUANGGGGGGCAGCAAUUAGGAAUCUUGCACAAUGGGCGAAAGCCUGAUGCAGCGACGCCGCGUGAGCGAUGAAGUCUCUAGGGAUGUAAAGCUCUGUCCUGUGGGGAAGAAGAAUGUGACGGUACCCACAGAGAAAGCCCCGGCUAACUACGUGCCAGCAGCCGCGGUAAUACGUAGGGGGCGAGCGUUGUCCGAAUUUAUUGGGCGUAAAGCGCGUGUAGGCGGCUCUUUAAGUCAGGUGUGAAAUCCUGUGGCUCAACCACAGAACUGCAUUUGAUACUGGGGAGCUUGAGUGUGAGAGAGGAAAGUGAAAUUCCUGGUGUAGCGGUGAAAUGCGUAGAUAUCAGGAGAAACACCCGUGGCGAAGGCGGCUUUCUGGCCCACCACUGACGCUGAGACGCGAAAGCUAGGGGAGCGAACGGGAUUAGAUACCCCUNUANUC